CAGCAGCCGCGGGAAUACGUAGGUGGCAAGCGUUGUCCGGAAUUAUUGGGCGUAAAGGGCUCGCAGGCGGCUUCUUAAGUCUGAUGUGAAAGCCCCCGGCUCAACCGGGGAGGGUCAUUGGAAACUGGGAAACUUGAGUGCAGAAGAGGAGAGUGGAAUUCCACGUGUAGCGGUGAAAUGCGUAGAGAUGUGGAGGAACACCAGUGGCGAAGGCGACUCUCUGGUCUGUAACUGACGCUGAGGCUCGAAAGCGUGUGGAGCAAACAGGAUUAGAUACCCCUGUAGUCCCUGUCUCUUAUAC
rnacentral:rRNA from 1 species